GCACCUGUAGCUCAAUUGGAUAGAGCGCUUGUCUUCGGAACAAGAGGUUGUGGGUUCAAUUCCCGCCGGGUGCACCA
rnacentral:tRNA from 1 species